GAAAGCAGGUCAUAGUGAUCCGGUGGUUCUGAAUGGAAGGGCCAUCGCUCAACGGAUAAAAGGUACUCCGGGGAUAACAGGCUGAUACCGCCCAAGAGUUCAUAUCGACGGCGGUGUUUGGCACCUCGAUGUCGGCUCAUCACAUCCUGGGGCUGAAGUAGGUCCCAAGGGUAUGGCUGUUCGCCAUUUAAAGUGGUACGCGAGCUGGGUUUAGAACGUCGUGAGACAGUUCGGUCCCUAUCUGCCGUGGGCGCUGGAGAACUGAGGGGGGC
rnacentral:rRNA from 1 species